rnacentral:rRNA from 1 species
AGAGUUUGAUCCUGGCUCAGGAUGAACGCUAGCGGUGUGCUUUAUGCAUGCAAGUCGAACGAUGAACUGGUCUUCGGACUAGGGAAGAGUGGCAAACGGGUGAGUAACACGUAAGUGACCUACCCUUAAGUUGGGGACAACCCCGGGAAACCGGGGCUAAUACCGAAUGUGAUGGCCGGCUAAAGUCGGUCAUUAAAGCCUUAGGGCGCUUAGGGAGGGGCUUGCGCCCGAUUAGCUUGUUGGUGGGGUAAAAGCCUACCAAGGCUAUGAUCGGUAGCUGGUCUGAGAGGACGAUCAGCCACACUGGGACUGAGACACGGCCCAGACUCCUACGGGAGGCAGCAGCAAGGAAUUUUGGGCAAUGGGCGAAAGCCUGACCCAGCAACACCGCGUGGGGGAGGAAGGCCCUCGGGUUGUAAACCCCUUUUACGAGGGAAGAAUAAAAUGACGGUACCUCGUGAAUAAGCCUUGGCUAAAUACGUGCCAGCAGCCGCGGUAAUACGUAUGAGGCAAGCGUUAUCCGGAUUUACUGGGCGUAAAGAGAACGUAGGCGGCUUUUCAAGUCGGAUGUGAAAUUUCUCGGCUCAACCGAGAGGGGUCAUUCGAUACUGUUAGGCUUGAGGACAGCAGGUGGAAACGGAACUCCCGGUGUAGUGGUGGAAUGCGUAGAUACCGGGAAGAACACCAGAGGCGAAGGCGGUUUCCAAGGCUGUAUCUGACGCUGAGGUCCGAAAGCGUGGGUAGCGAACAGGAUUAGAUACCCAGGUAGUCCACGCUGUAAACGAUGGACACUAGGUAUAGGGAGUAUCGACCCUCUCUGUGCCGAAGCUAACGCUCUAAGUGUCCCGCCUGGGGACUACGGCCGCAAGGCUAAAACUCAAAGGAAUUGACGGGGGCCCGCACAAGCAGCGGAGCGUGUGGUUUAAUUCGAUUCAACGCGAAGAACCUUACCAAGGCUUGACAUGCUGGUAGUAGCGAACCGAAAGGUAAGCGACCCGUAAAAUCGGGAACCUUCACAGGUGCUGCAUGGCUGUCGUCAGCUCGUGCCGUGAGGUGUUUGGUUAAGUCCUGCAACGAGCGCAACCCUCGUCGCUAGUUGAUUUCUCUAGCGAGACUGCCCUGCAAAACGGGGAGGAAGGUGGGGAUGACGUCAAGUCAGCAUGGCCCUUAUGCCUUGGGCUACACACACGCUACAAUGGGUGGUACAGUAGGUUGCAAUGGAGCGAUCCGGAGCCAAUCCCCAAAACCAUCCCAAGUACGAAUUAUAGGCUGAAACUCGCCUGUAUGAAGUUGGAGUUGCUAGUAACCGCGUAUCAGCACGGCGCGGUGAAUACGUUCUCGGGCCUUGUACACACCGCCCGUCACGUCAUGAAAGUCGGAAACACCUGAAGUCGAUGCGCUAACCCUUUUGGGAGGCAGUCGCCGAAGGUGGGGCUGAUGAUUGGGACGAAGUCGUAACAAGGUA